rnacentral:ribozyme from 1 species
CACGUUUGAAUUAUCUUUGACACCAAGGCUUUUGAAAUUAGCUUUGUUUUCAUUUUGCACAUAUAUCUUUUUGCACUUUGUUCGA